rnacentral:misc_RNA from 1 species
GAUGAAGAACGUAGCGAAACGCGAUAAGUAAUGUGAAUUGCAGAAUUCAGUGAAUCAUCGAAUCUUUGAACGCACAUUGCGCCCCCUGGUAUUCCUGGGGGCAUGCCUGUUCGAGCGUCAUUUCACCACUCAAGCCUCGCUUGGUAUUGGGCAACGCGGUCCGCCGCGUGCCUCAAAUCGACCGGCUGGGUCUUCUGUCCCCUAAGCGUUGUGGAAACUUUCGCUAAAGGGUGUUCGGGAGGCUACGCCGUAAAACAACCCCAUUUCUAAGGUUGACCUCGGAUCAGGUAGGGAUACCCGCUGAACUUAAGCAUAUCAAUAAGCGGAGGA